AGUGAACGCUGGCGGUAGGCCUAACACAUGCAAGUCGAACGGCAGCACAGUAAGAGCUUGCUCUUACGGGUGGCGAGUGGCGGACGGGUGAGGAAUACAUCGGAAUCUACUUUUUCGUGGGGGAUAACGUAGGGAAACUUACUCUAAUACCGCAUACGACCUACGGGUGAAAGCAGGGGAUCUUUGGACCUUGCGCGAUUGAAUGAGCCGAUGUCGGAUUAGCUAGUUGGCGGGGUAAAGGCCCACCAAGGCGACGAUCCGUAGCUGGUCUGAGAGGAGGAUAAGCCACACUGGAACUGAGACACGGUCCAGACUCCUACGGGAGGCAGCAGUGGGGAAUAUUGGACAAUGGGCGCAAGCCUGAUCCAGCCAUACCGCGUGGGUGAAGAAGGCCUUCGGGUUGUAAAGCCCUUUUGUUGGGAAAGAAAAGCAGCAGGUUAAUACCACGCUGUUCUGACGGUACCCAAAGAAUAAGCACCGGCUAACUUCGUG
rnacentral:rRNA from 1 species